ACAAUUAAGUAUAGUCAAGCAAACAAAUCCAUGUAUUAGACAUGACUGAAAAUGUUUGUCUCUUUCUAUACCUUGAAUCCAUCAUUCCUCUAUCAGGAGAUGGAUAACAUGCUUCAUAACAGAACCUCUGCAGUAAUUGAAGUCAUCUCUCAGUGAUCAGAAUUUAAGUCUUUCAACAUCAUUUUUCAUUACAAUGUUAUUCUUAUUGUUCUGUUUCUGUACACUUUACUCCAUAGCCAUUACACAGAUAUUUUUAGUAUUCUCUGAAAUCGUUUGGCUGUUUCUAAAUACAUGAGAAUUCUAAAAUAAUAUUGUGAUUGCUGAUUAAAAAAUACUGUAGCUCAAGUCAAGUGACUUUUAGUAGCUUUUAUUUAUAAAGAGGUAGAAAGAGUGAAAGUAGAGAAAUGUAAGAAGAGAGUAGAGAAAAUAUCUAGCCUAUCACACUAAGUCUUAUGGCAGGGCUUGUUAACCUUCAGUCAGAGGACCUGGUGGUGUCUUAUGCAAAGGUUCCACCAAUGCAACCUCCUUCAGGAGAAGGAGACCUCUUCAGAACUAAUCUCUCCAGAAGCCAGGAAGGGAAGGCCAGCUACUCACUCACUCACGAUGAAGUCCAAAGGAGAAGAUUCAGGAGCAGUCCUUCAAGAAGCAGUCCAAGAACCAAGGUCCCAAGUUGAAGCUGGGGUCCAAGUCCAAAGCCACCUCUAAGAGACAAGUCACCAGCCAAAACUCCAACCUGAAGAUUCAAGCCAAAGACUUCCUGGACAAUGAGAAAACUGAGGAACGCAAGUUUAAUGACUAACUCAAGGUCCUCAUAGCUGAUACUGUGUGGCUAAGCUGCUCAGGGACAAGGAUGAAAAUUAAAGUCACCUCCUCUCUCAAGGAGUUUAUGGUGAUGUACGGAACAUAUGUAAUAGGGACAGCACAGAGCAGAAAGGCUGUCACAAGGUAAGACUUGAGCCUUAGGAGGAGUAUUUUUGGAGAGGUGCUGAGGAUGGAUUGGAUGUGGGGUAAAACUAGAGGAGGAAGAAAAUGAGAGGGAUGGAAGAACUAUCCAGCAGGAUGAAAUUCAAGUGAAUUGAGCUGAAUGAACAUUGACUAACAACUUACUCUAGGUGCAACACAGAGUCAUUACCCAGACUGGUCUCUGGGUGCCUGGCUGGGGCUGGGCCACCAGUAAUCAGAAUAAUUGCAGAUAGCAGGUUGGCAGAGGUGGGGAGGAGAAGAAGCCUAACCACAAUUACAGGGAUGGGAUUCCCAGAACUCAUGGCCCCUAGAGGUGCGUGAUUAUGUCUUGGGUAGUGACACUGUCUGUAUGGGGAGUUACCGUCAAGACAACUCUUUUAUAGGUAUAAUUAGCAGUCAUCAAUUAUGAAUAAGAAUUUCCAGAUAAAUAGAGAGGAGCAGCUGGAAGGAAACUUUUGUAAUCCCUAAGAGGCUCAGAUAAGGCCAUA